rnacentral:rRNA from 1 species
UACGAAGGGGGCUAGCGUUGCUCGGAAUCACUGGGCGUAAAGCGCACGUAGGCGGAUUGUUAAGUCAGGGGUGAAAUCCUGGAGCUCAACUCCAGAACUGCCUUUGAUACUGGCGAUCUUGAGUCCGGGAGAGGUGAGUGGAACUGCGAGUGUAGAGGUGAAAUUCGUAGAUAUUCGCAAGAACACCAGUGGCGAAGGCGGCUCACUGGCCCGGUACUGACGCUGAGGUGCGAAAGCGUGGGGAG